rnacentral:misc_RNA from 1 species
GAUGAAGAACGCAGCGAAAUGCGAUAAGUAGUGUGAAUUGCAGAAUUCAGUGAAUCAUCGAAUCUUUGAACGCACAUUGCGCCUCCUGGCAUUCCGGGAGGCAUGCCUGUUCGAGCGUCAUCAAACCCCAUCGUGCAAAUGAAUUAUUUUUUUUGCGCGGAAGUGAAGAUUGAGCGAGAAUAACAAAUCCUCUCGCACCUCGUCGAAAUGAUUGCGGGCGGAAUUUGGGAUCGGGUUCCUCGGCGUAGUGUAUCAAUGCAUAUUUAUGCAACUUGCCGCGGAGUUGAGCCUGACCCACGCGUUCUCGCCGUACAAACACCUCAUUACUUUACAAGUUUUUGACCUCGGAUCAGGUAGGGAUACCCGCUGAACUUAAGCAUAUCAAUAAGCGGAGGA